rnacentral:rRNA from 1 species
UAGGGAAUAUUGGACAAUGGGGGCAACCCUGAUCCAGCCAUGCCGCGUGAGUGAAGAAGGCCCUCGGGUUGUAAAGCUCUUUUGUCCGGAAAGAAAAGCUUCGGGUUAAUACCCCGGGGUUCUGACGGUACCGGAAGAAUAAGCACCGGCUAACUUCGUGCCAGCAGCCGCGGUAAUACGAAGGGUGCAAGCGUUACUCGGAAUUACUGGGCGUAAAGCGUGCGUAGGUGGUUGUUUAAGUCUGAUGUGAAAGCCCUGGGCUCAACCUGGGAAUGGCAUUGGAAACUGGGCAGCUAGAGUGCGGUAGAGGGUAGUGGAAUUCCCGGUGUAGCAGUGAAAUGCGUAGAGAUCGGGAGGAACACCAAAGGCGAAGGCGGCACUCUAAGCCGUACCUGACACUGAGACGCGACAGCACGGGGAGCAAACG